AGCAUUAGUGUUUUCAAAUGGCUCAAUCAACUCCUGCCAAGAUAUGCAAAAACAACUGAGGAGUGUUUUCCAAAAAUGUUUUCCCAUUUCUGCUACCAAAUUCACCUAACAGAAAUAACUCUGAAGUUCAUUCUAUGGAGAUACUUAAGGAAAAUAGAGAGGAGGCCUGUGAUGUGUCUUCACUCUUCCUCUGUGCAGCCCAACAGCUCCGACCUCAGUGUGAUCCUCCCGUACCAGGACCAAGGAAGGAUCCUUAUGUGCCGUGCAUAGAUGGGAGGAUCAAUGACGUUUUUUCUUCAACAGUAUGACAACUGCUGAAGUGACCCAGAGUGGAAUUCCUUCCUUUGUCUGAACCCCGUGAAGAACUGGAACUCUGGUACCAGCUGCGGCACCCUGAGCCCAGCUACCUCCUCAGGGAAUGCAGAUAAACUUGGUGAAUCAUCAAAUGGAAGAUGGUCUUGGAGAUCUCAGAACUCUCAACUGAUACCAGGAGUGAGGGUGAAUUUGAGAACUCACAACAUUGCACUGAGUAAUUGGUGUUCAAAUGUUACAGGUUCCACAAGG